AAAAUUAGAUGUGUUGUUUCUGCCACAUUCUACUGAACGAUGCUGGAAUUCUGCACAAAAAGGAAUACGUUUCUUCAGGGAGGUAGAACUCCCCCAGUUUCUGCAGAUCCUAGACUGUUUCCUAGACUUCAGAGGAUAUUUCUGCUGUGGAUGGAGGAUCCAAGUUCCUGAUGAUCUCGAUACCAUUCUGUGAAGUCAAUGGGAGGCACCAGAUCCUGAGAGUCCCAGUUCAAGGCCGAGUUCUCGGUUUCAAAUUCCUUGCCGCGGAGCUGGGCUCCAUCCGCCUCCAGCUACCUGCCUAAUGUGAUCAUUCUGCAUGGUAGAAAUCAAAUUUAUUUUGCUGGAAGGCGACUCACCCAGUAACGCACAUUAUAUCAGUCUGCUUCCAAGGGAAGGCGAAGCAGCCGAUAUAUAUCCAAGCUGGAGAGUUCUGGAACAGGUAGGGGUUUUGUCCCAGAAGAAGUGGCUUCAAAGAGGAAAAGAAAAAUUGGUUCUACAAAUGUACUUUCUGCCAAAGAUGGUGGAAGAGUGGUCAGAAGUUCUCACUGAGCAGACACAUGCUGUGGGAUAGGAAUGGCAAGUUUGCAUCCUCCAGCCAGAUCCUUACUUCAGGUUGCUUGAGAUAAGUUAGCACGAGGGAAAAUGGACCAUAAACAGCUUACAGGAGGCUGAUGAGGCACAGGGAAAUGAUCUUCAACACAGAUGGCCCUCCUGCUCCAGGAUCUCCAAGGAAAAGAGCUGCAUGUGCGCGUUCAUCCCCUAGAAGAGGAGGGGAUGCAGCCUGCUAAGGGGAAUGGAAACAAGUGUUUUGCCUGUUUUGGAAAAGCGGUGAUAUUGAAGGUAAGAGACAUGAGGACCUGCCAUGCAAUGAUAGCUAACUUGAGAGAACGUAAGAUCUGUGGCCAUGGGUUAACC